rnacentral:lncRNA from 1 species
UGUAGUUGCCUGUGUUACAACCCUGAGCAGUUUACUCCCUUUUGCCUUCCUGUGUUUGACCUCUCCCUGUUUCCCGACUCCCUGCCUUGCUCUUUGUCUGACGUUUUGCCUGGAUUUUUGACCUCGCCUUUGUCGGCUCUUCUGCUAUUAAAAGCUGUUGCAAGUGGAUCUCAACGCCUCACCCUCUUUGUUGCAGAAUACUUCGCCAGAUCCAGCAACAGGAGUUAUUACACCAGCCAACUGUGCAACAAGAACCUCAUCGUGUAGUGUACUGCUCCACUUAAUUUUAUAUGCAUCUUUGGUUGUGAUUUAUUUGUUUAUUCAUUGGCUUGUGUUGAGUUUCAGGUGGAGCUGUACCGGCCUGAGGUGGCCUAAAGAUGGUGCCAGAGAAGCUCUCCAAGAGGGUGCUACCACUACCUGGACGCCAUGGGGAAGUGACCCCUCCCAUAAUAAUCCUGGAUCAACUAGUUUGGGUGUAUUGCAAGAAUGCCAGACUCCUGAAGAAGCAUCAUUACAAGGAUCCAUCAUCCAGUUCCACAUCCAACCACCAGAGGGACCCCUCACCUGAGUUUUAAUCAGCCAUCUCCUCACCUGUCUCCCUCCUGCAAUCACCGCCAGCUGGUUCUCAUCAAGCUAAUUACCUCAGUGUAUUUAGUCACCCCAUGGACUGAGCUCCUUGUGAAGUAUUGUAUUUGCCUGUUUAUUCCUGAGCAGUUUACUCCCUUUUGCCUUCCUGUGUUUGACCUCUACCUUGGCAACCUGCCUUGCUCCUUGUCUGAUCUUUUGCCUGGAUUUUUGACCUCUCCUUGUUUUUGCCCUUGUUGGAUCUUCUGCUAUUAAAAGCUGUUGCAUG